CUCAGAGUGAACGCUGGCGGUAGGCCUAACACAUGCAAGUCGAACGGCAGCACAGUAAGAGCUUGCUCUUAUGGGUGGCGAGUGGCGGACGGGUGAGGAAUACAUCGGAAUCUACCUUUUCGUGGGGGAUAACGUAGGGAAACUUACGCUAAUACCGCAUACGACCUUCGGGUGAAAGCAGGGGACCUUCGGGCCUUGCGCGGAUAGAUGAGCCGAUGUCGGAUUAGCUAGUUGGCGGGGUAAAGGCCCACCAAGGCGACGAUCCGUAGCUGGUCUGAGAGGAUGAUCAGCCACACUGGAACUGAGACACGGUCCAGACUCCUACGGGAGGCAGCAGUGGGGAAUAUUGGACAAUGGGCGCAAGCCUGAUCCAGCCAUACCGCGUGGGUGAAGAAGGCCUUCGGGUUGUAAAGCCCUUUUGUGGGAAAGAAAAGCAGUCGGCUAAUACCCGGUGUCUGACGGUACCCAAAGAAUAAGCACCGGCUAACUUCGUGCCAG
rnacentral:rRNA from 1 species